rnacentral:lncRNA from 1 species
CCGCCAUGAUUGUGAGGCUUCCCCAGCCAUGUGGAAACAUAUUCGCAGAGCACCCACUAGGUGCCAGUAAAUGUAUGAGAAGUCCUGUGGAAUAAGACUGAAGUUGUCCUUGCCUUCAAGCAACUUGCAAUUGCCUAAGAACACAGUUUAAAACCACAAAACUAAGCCUUGGAAAUCACAUGCUGUCAUUUCUGCGAUCGGUCAUAACCAGUCCUGAUUCCAUGUUAGAGGAGACUACAUAAGGACACAGGUACCAGAAGAUGAAAAAUUUGGAGUCUAGUGAAAAGAAGUGACUUGCUCAAAAUCACACAGCACAUGAAGAACAGAGCCUCUAUGAUGAAUUUCUUGACAGCUGAUAUAAGUCUUUUGAGGUACAGCCUGGCACAAAAAGGAUGAGAUUUGUGGGCAGAAUUUUGGAAGAAUAUCUCCCGAGAGAACAUUCAGGACAGAUUGCACUGCUUUGGAGAGCUGGUGAUGAAAUCCGGCCAUUGAAUUACACUGCACUAUAAACUUCAUUUGUUCUUGGGUGCAUAGUGAUUUGCUAUAAUAAUGAUCAUCCAUUUGCCAGACAGCUGAGAUUUUUUAAAAGCUUGAUUGCUUUUGGCAUGGCAUUAUUAGUCCUGGAAGAAGGCAGCACAUUUGUAGCAAUUCUCAGCUUGAGCAAACUAGAAUAUUCACCUCCCACAAAUGCUGGCCAUUUAAGAUCUGUGUGUUAGACUUUGGCAUUUUUUCUAGCAAUUCUACAACAGCAUACACACUUUUAUUUUUCAUUAACACCAUUGUGAAUAUGCCCAUCUCUAAAAUUUCAAGGGGGUUCACUUAAGCUACUGAGUUUUAUGGACAGAAGGGCCAAGAAAAGUCCCCAAAGAAGAGUGCAUGCUGUCAAUUGCCAAUUAUUUUUUUUUCUAAUGAAAGCCAAACAAUUCCAGACAAACCCUUUUCUAAGAAAUGAACUACAUAUCUGGAUCCAAAUAAAUACUCAUCUGAUAAGAAUCUAAAAGCUCUACUGAAUUACAGUGGAUGAGAACAUGAUGAUGGUGAUUCUUUGAAGAUUACUGAGGAAAUCAACUCUCAUGUCUGAUUCUGAUACUUUUAUAGUCCAUCCAUGUUGAAAAUGUCUAUGGAAUGAUUCUGUUGUACCUUGAGAAAUGAAAUUCAUAGGCAUGGAUUCUCUCACACAGCAACUUUAUACACAAAGAUGAGAAUAGAAGAAAGGUCAUUUCCAAAGAAAGUGACAUUUAUUCUGUAUUCACUGAAAAGCCAAAAGAAUUUUCUCAUUCACCCAUACCGACAGAGCCCUACAUCUCCCCGAGAAGAGGUGAAAGAGACUGCUCCUAUCUGCUUCUGCAUCAAACUUCAGGCUCAAGACCUGUCCAGAAAAAAAAAUGUCUUCUUUCAGGGAUGAACUGCUGUCCUCAUCAGACGCCUUAUUUUGUUUAGAAUUCAAGCUCACUUGACAGGUUAUUGUGAAGAUUAAAUGAAUUAAUACAUGUGAAGCAACUGUAACAACUCUUGACAUGCGAACUUGAACACACUUGACCAGAGACUCUGGAGAAGAAUUUUGCCUUUACUUAAUAAUGCAAGAUCAUCAUUAUGGACAUCAAUUAUUGAACUGUGCUAUAGUAUAGGGG